GAAAUGCGAUAAGUAAUGUGAAUUGCAGAAUUCCGUGAAUCAUCGAAUCUUUGAACACACAUUGCGCCCCCUGGCAUUCCGGGGGGCAUGCCUGUCCGAGCGUCAUUUCUGCCCUCAAGCACGGCUUGUGUGUUGGGUGUGGUCCCCCCGGGGACCUGCCCGAAAGGCAGCGGCGACGUCCGUCUGGUCCUCGAGCGUAUGGGGCUCUGUCACUCGCUCGGGAAGGACCUGCGGGGGUUGGUCACCACCAUAUUUCACCACGGUUGACCUCGGAUCAGGUAGGAGUUACCCACUGAACUUAAGC
rnacentral:misc_RNA from 1 species